UGUCUGAUCUUCCUGUUAAUAGAAUCAUCUGGCCAUAUGUUACAUAAAUAAAGCUGACUGGAGACAGAUCUAAGGGUUUUAGUUUCUGACUAGAUUUCUUUGGAUUUUGUGUGUGGACCUCAGGUUUUACCCAGUGUUCACAUGUUUAACUUCACGUGAGUCUGGGACAGAGCCACACAUGAAGUCGACAUCUUCUUACAGUCUCGCCACUUAUCUUUCCACUA